rnacentral:rRNA from 1 species
UACGAAGGGGGCUAGCGUUGUUCGGAAUUACUGGGCGUAAAGCGCGCGCAGGCGGUUCUUCAAGUCAGGGGUGAAAUCCCGGGGCUCAACCCCGGAACUGCCCUUGAAACUGGAGAGCUAGAAUCUUGGAGAGGCGAGUGGAAUUCCGAGUGUAGAGGUGAAAUUCGUAGAUAUUCGGAAGAACACCAGUGGCGAAGGCGACUCGCUGGACAAGUAUUGACGCUGAGGUGCGAAAGCGUGGGGAGCAAACAGG